rnacentral:rRNA from 1 species
AUUGAACGCUGGCGGCAGGCCUAACACAUGCAAGUCGAACGAGUGGCGGACGGGUGAGUAAUGUCUGGGAAACUGCCCGAUGGAGGGGGAUAACUACUGGAAACGGUAGCUAAUACCGCGUACCAUCGGAUGUGCCCCGAUGGGAUUAGCUUGUAGGUGAGGGAAAGGCGCACCUAGGCGACGCACACUAGCUGGUCUGGGAGGAUGACCAGCCACACGGGAACUGAGACACGGUCCAGACUGCUACGGGAGGCAGCUGGGGGGAAUAUUGCGCCAUGGGCGCAAGCCUGAUGCAGCCAUGCCGCGUGGAUGAAGAAGGCCUUCGGGUUGUAAAGUAAUUUCAGCGGGGAGGCGUUACUCGCAGAAGUAGCACCGUCUAACUCCGUGCCAGCAGCCGCUGUAAUAC